rnacentral:rRNA from 1 species
UACGUAGGGUGCAAGCGUUGUCCGGAAUUAUUGGGCGUAAAGAGCUCGUAGGCGGUUUGUUGCGUCGGCUGUGAAAUCCCGAGGCUCAACCUCGGGUCUGCAGUCGAUACGAGCAAACUAGAGUGUUGCAGGGGAGACUGGAAUUCCUGGUGUAGCGGUGAAAUGCGCAGAUAUCAGGAGGAACACCGGUGGCGAAGGCGGGGUCUCUGGGGCAACAACUGACG